rnacentral:misc_RNA from 1 species
GAUGAAGAACGCAGCGAAAUGCGAUACGUAGUGUGAAUUGCAGAAUUCAGUGAAUCAUCGAAUCUUUGAACGCACAUUGCACCUCUCGGUAUUCCGGGAGGUAUGCCUGUUCGAGCGUCAUUUGUACCCUCAAGCUCUGCUUGGUGUUGGGUGUUUGUUCCGCCUCUGUGUGUGAACUCGCCUCAAAACAAUUGGCAGCCGGCGUACUUGUUUCGGAGCGCAGCACAUUUUGCGAUCCAGAUCAACGUACAGCGGCAUCCAAGAAGCCUUAUUUAACGCUCUUGACCUCGGAUCAGGUAGGGAUACCCGCUGAACUUAAGCAUAUCAAUGCGGAGGA